AUGCACCUCGGACCCCUCGUCCUCAUGGCUUUCCUGGGGCAACUGCUGGGCACCAUGGGGCAGACCACCGUCACCGAGCAAGAAGGACAAGUCACAGUGAAGCAGAGAGACACCUCCACAUGCCAGACCUCCAACUUCUAUGGCUUGUUCUGGUACCAGCAGAAGAAAGGCCAAGCUCCCCAGCUGGUCUCUUCUCAGGCAGGAGCUGGCCUCAGGCAGAGCGGCCGUUUCACCACACGGCUGAACACCACGAGGAAAUACAGCCUCCUGCAGCUGGAGGAAGUUGAGGUCUCUGACAGUGCCUUGUACCUCUGUGCUGUGCAAGACACCCUGGUGCAGGGAGCUUCCUCGUCUGGGAGGAAAGUGGCUGGGCACAAGCAAACCAGGACAUGGCUGGGCCACAUGGAAGACAAAUUUUUGAUGCAAAGUGAGAUCUCUCCUUGA